rnacentral:rRNA from 1 species
UGGGGAAUCUUGCGCAAUGGACGAAAGUCUGACGCAGCGACGCCGCGUGGGCGACGAAGGCCUUCGGGUUGUAAAGCCCUGUGGGGCGGGACGAACACUCUCUAGACGAAUAGGCUAGGGAGCUGACGGUACCGCCUUAGCAAGCACCGGCUAACUCUGUGCCAGCAGCCGCGGUAAGACAGAGGGUGCAAACGUUGCUCGGAAUUACUGGGCGUAAAGCGCGUGUAGGCGGUUCCGCAAGUCAGGUGUGAAAGCCCAGGGCUCAACCCUGGAAGUGCACAUGAUACUACGGAGCUUGAGUACUGAAGAGGAGAGCGGAAUUCCCGGUGUAGAGGUGAAAUUCGUAGAUAUCGGGAGGAACACCAGUGGCGAAGGCGGCUCUCUGGGCAGAUACUGACGCUGAGACGCGAAAGCAUGGGGAGCAAACAG